GGCGGGUCUCCCCGCAUUGUGAGGCGGUGAAUCUGGUCAGGUCCGGAAGGAAGCAGCCACAGCCGAUUCUCGCAAGUGCCGGGGGUCAGGCUCGCCACC
rnacentral:SRP_RNA from 1 species